AGCAGUAGCCACGGGAAUACGGAGGGGGCUAGCGUUGUUCGGAAUUACUGGGCGUAAAGCGCACGUAGGCGGCUUGGUAAGUUAGAGGUGAAAGCCUGGAGCUCAACUCCAGAAUUGCCUUUAAGACUGCCGAGCUAGCAGGUGAGAGAGGUAAGUGGAAUUCCGAGUGUAGAGGUGAAAUUCGUAGAUAUUCGGAAGAACACCAGUGGCGAAGGCGGCUUACUGGCUCAUACUGGACGCUGAGGUGCGAAAGCGUGGGGAGCAAACAGGAUUAGAUACCCCCGUAGUCCCUGUCUCUUAUAC
rnacentral:rRNA from 1 species